rnacentral:rRNA from 1 species
CUACGGGGUGCACCAGUAAGGAAUCUUUCGCAAUGGAGGAAACUCUGACGGAGCAAUACCGCGUGACCGAUGAAGGCCGUAAGGUCGUAAAGGUCUUUUCUGAGGGAAUAAUUUUGAAGGUACCUUAGGAAUAAGCACCGGCUAACUCCGUGCCAGCAGCCGCGGUAAUUCGGAGGGUGCAAGCGUUACCCGGAAUCAUUGGGCGUAAAGCGUCCGCAGGCGGUUUGGUAAGCCAAAUAUUAAAUCUUGGGGCCCAACUCCAAGGCUGUAUUUGGAACUGCUGAACUAGAGUCUUUUAGAGGUAUGCGGAAUUCUGUGUGUAGGGGUAAAAUCCGUAGAUACACAGAGGAACACCAAAAGCGAAGGCAGCAUACUGGGAAAGUACUGACGCUCAUGGACGAAAGCGUAGGUAGCGAACGGGAUUAGAUACCCUUGUAGUC